GCUUUUAGCUUUUGAAGUUGGCACAUUC
rnacentral:piRNA from 1 species